UAGGGAAUCUUCGGCAAUGGACGGAAGUCUGACCGAGCAACGCCGCGUGAGUGAAGAAGGUUUUCGGAUCGUAAAGCUCUGUUGUAAGAGAAGAACGAGUGUGAGAGUGGAAAGUUCACACUGUGACGGUAUCUUACCCAAAAGGGAAGGGUAAACUACUUGCCAGCAGCCGCGGUAAUACGUAGGUCCCCAGAGCGUUGUCCGGAUUUAUUGGGCGUAAAGCGAGCGCAGGCGGUUAGAUAAGUCUGAAGUUAAAGGCUGUGGCUUAACCAUAGUACGCUUUGGAAACUGUUUAACUUGAGUGCAAGAGGGGAGAGUGGAAUUCCAUGUGUAGCGGUGAAAUGUGUAGAUAUAUGGAGGAACACCGGUGGCGAAAGCGGCUCUCUGGCUUGUAACUGACGCUGAGGCUCGAAAGCGUGGGGAGCAAACAGGAUUAGAUACCCUGGUAGUCCACGCCGUAAACGAUGAGUGCUAGGUGUUAGACCCUUUCCGGGGUUUAGUGCCGCAGCUAACGCAUUAAGCACUCCGCCUGGGGAGUACGACCGCAAGGUUG
rnacentral:rRNA from 1 species